CGUGCGGGUAGGGUUGAGGGAUUCGCCGUCCCUUAUAACCGAAGGCGCAAUGCGGGACCAGUAAUUCCAGGAUAAGAGUAAAAUGAUACGAGAGGUCCCUAAGCUUCGAUGAACUUCGCGUUGUGGAGCUUGCAGAGACCGGGCAUCUAUUGGAGGAUAGAUUGCUACGGUCUUAACCGAGAGAACCUGGCUAGGUCCGGAAGGGAGCAACCUGGGCUCGGAUGCAAGCGUUCACAAUUUGCGGAGAAGAUGGAGCUUGGGGGUAAAAACCCCGUAUCAUCUUACUCUUAUCCUGGAAGACCGCACG
rnacentral:SRP_RNA from 1 species